UGGGGAAUAUUGGGCAAUGGGGGAAACCCUGACCCAGCAACGCCGCGUGAAGGAAGAAGGUUUUCGGAUCGUAAACUUCUAUCCUUGGUGAAAAUAGUGAUGGUAGCCAAGAAGGAAGCCCCGGCUAACUACGUGCCAGCAGCCGCGGUAAUACGUAGGGGGCAAGCGUUGUCCGGAAUGAUUGGGCGUAAAGGGCGCGUAGGCGGCCUGUUAAGUCUGGAGUGAAAGUCCUGUUUUUAAGGCGGGAAUUGCUUUGGAUACUGGCGGGCUUGAGUGCAGGAGAGGUUAGCGGAAUUCCCGGUGUAGCGGUGAAAUGCGUAGAGAUCGGGAGGAACACCAGUGGCGAAGGCGGCUAACUGGACUGUAACUGACGCUGAGGCGCGAAAGUGUGGGGAGCAAACAGG
rnacentral:rRNA from 1 species